GCUGGGGCUGGGGCUGGCCUCCGAGCGGGGCUACAGCCCGCGUCCCCCCCCCCCGCUUUCCCUGCCCCGCGACCCCGGGGCUGCCCUCCUCUCCCUUUCCCGCUCCCUGGGGACCAGCUCAGUGGUGUGGGCGCUGCUCCCCGGGCUGAGAGCCUCCAGCUGUGAACCCCAGCUUCUCCUGGUGGAGUUGGGAAAAGGGAGCGUCCGUGCUGAGCGAGCUUCCGUCUCCUCCCUCAGUGUUUCUGCCCCAGUACGUUUUGGUUACUGAGACCCUCGAAUUCCCAUAUGAAUUGUAGCAGCAGCUAGUCAGUUUCUGCAGAGGAGCCCGCAGGGAUUGUGAUCGAGACCACGUUGAAUAUACGGAUCGUUCUGGGGAGCACUGCCAUUCCAAGAGCGCUGUCUUCUGAUCCAGGAAUGUGCGUGGUUUGUCUGUCCAGGUGAUAAUGCUCUGGUUGCUGAAUGUGCCCUCUCCCCAGACUUGGUUUUGGAGUUAAGUCACCAUCAGUGGAGCCCUCUCUUUAAAAGAUGAAGAAAACAUUUGCUCCUUCUCCCUGGUUGGGGACUUGGAUGAGAUGAGAGUUCUACAUAUAGUUGGUUACAUUCUGUACCUGGAAAUUUCUCCAAAACUUCUUCCCACGUGCCCUCACCUCCAGUAGCAUCCAUCCAGACACCAGAACUGACACUGGCCGUGCUCAGAACUGCCUCAGCCCUGAAGACACAACUGACAAAUAGAAGGGGGCCACGCCCUGUUACAGCAGGUGCUCUCACUUUGUGGAUCCUUAUGUAACUGAGUGGUGUUAAUCAGGAUUGCCCGUUCUACAUUGUGUGGCGCUGCUGCGGUGUCUCCUAGUUACUUGUUUCUUGUAAGAAUGCCGGUGACUCAGUUAGAAGCAUGCUCCCAAGCUGUCCGUGUCCUUGCCAUUCAGAAGCGGACCCUGGAAGCUUCCGAAUUUCUCCAGAAUGCGUUCUACAUUCACCUUCGGCAGAUAAGGAGACUGAGAAUUAAGUCUUCUCUUUUUGGGUGGAGCUCAUUAUCAAUGACGGGAAGUUGUAAGGAAAAAGAUAUUGAUUCAUCCUGAGAAAACAUUUUUCUGAGAGUCAGCAGUGAAGAAGGUGGACACUGAAGAAGGUGAUCAUUGUUCGAUUGAGACGAGCCCCGGUUUGUACGGAGUCAGCAUCCCUGUCCUGGACACAGCCAGUGUAGAGCUGCGUGGUGGGUGAGGCGGCGAUGCCGCGCAGGGAACGCAGAUGCCGGGCCAUUGGGCUGUGCUCAGGCCCAGUGGGGCUUUCUCCUAAGGGCAGUGGACAGUCAUUGACAGAUUUUAAGUAGGGGAGUGAGGUGCUCUCGUAGAUCAAUUUUGUCUUGUAGAAUGCUUAGAAACAUUUAGAAGGCUCCGCUGGAGGUGAUGUGAUGAGUCAGAUUAGGGUAGCUGCCAGGUGUAGGAGUGUAGAAUUUUCAAGUGGUUUUCAGUCCCAGUUUUGUGGCUCAGUAGCCGUGUCACUUUGGAUGAUGCACUCAAGGAAAAGAAACAAUUUAUCUAAUCAAUAAAUGCAGUGAUGUACCGACCUCCCAGGACUGCUGUGGAGAUCCAGUGAGAUAACGUGUGCACAGUGUGCAGCAUGGUACCCAGCACAGAGUCAGUGCUGAGUCAGUGCCAGUGAGUAUCUGAUAGGACAGGUGUGGGUGGUGGGACUCGGUGACUGAGGAAAUCUGGGCCCUGAAGGAGGGGUCCAGUCACAUCUGUGAGUGAUGGGCCUGAGCUCGGAGAGGCAGAGAGACCUUGCCCCCCAACCAGGGGCCCUGGGCAGGACGGCUAUGGGAGGAGCACCAUGAAGUCAGCUCUUUGCAGGUGGAGUUGGAGUUGCCCUUGCAACAUCUAAGUGCAGUGUCACGAGCUCAAAGAGGAGGUCUGGGCCCCGGCUGUGUAUUUUCCUAUAAUCUUAAUCCCUGAGGACGCUGAGGUAGUGAUCACUGAACGUGAAGACAUACUUUACAGGACAAGUGAAUAGUAGUAUCAUCUCUGUCAUCAAAGCUCACAUCUCUUUAUUCAUCACCCACUUUGCUAAUUGGAUACUUACAGAGCUCACUUCACCGACCUCCCAUGGGCUCAGGCUCCACAGUAAAGAGCUGGUGAGCCUCCCUCCUUUCCAGAAGAUGACACAUUUUGCUGGUAGCCUUCUGUACCUCGCCAGACUUAGAAUUUUAGUUUGUUGACUUAAUUCUAUUUUCUAUUAGCCAUCUCCUGACAAGAGAGACCUUUUACCUCAUGGUCAUAUUUCAAAUAGCUGUUACUGAGAAUUGCUGAUCUGAUCCAUAGAGUAAGUAUUAUAUUAACCUUGUAGAGUACUUAUCAUUUUUCUGUCUUUGCCCUUUAAUUUUGUAUGCCCUUUCUCUAUCCUAUUUGGGGCCUUAAUUUUUUUUAAUUAAAAGAUGUCUGUUUGCAGUUAAGAAAACAAAAGUAAAAAUACACAUGAAAUUUAACAUAGAAAAUA